rnacentral:lncRNA from 1 species
UAGAAAUGUUUUCGUGUCACAUCAUAAGUGGAGGCCCCAGUACAAGAAACAAGGAGUAGUGAACCAAGGAAAUACAUUGCAAAUAGAACACAUCAAGAAUUUCUCGGAAGAAUAAAAAAUAGAGGACCACACGUACUUAAAACUGAAGGAAGCAAUAUUCUUGUUCAUGGUGGCACUUUAGCAAACACAGGGUAUGCGCCUCAUAUAGAUAUCUACACAGAGUCAACACUUAGCUCUUCACGGCCAUUGUCGAGCACUACACUGCUCCUCAAGAAGGGCACUACUUCUCAUUCUAUAAUUACUGAAUGUCGCCAAUACAAAUGUCUGAACUUUGACUACCAUCAACUAAUUUUGCCCAAUUGAAAAUGCUUCUUCUGCGAAAAUUGUUGUAGCAUACUCACGCACAUAACACGCAUGCACACAACCAUGGAAGAGAAAGUCGAAGGGGAAAAGAAUAAGAGUAGGAGUUCAUUAAAAAAAUCUUGUUCCUUUUCGUCACACGUUUUUUCAGUAAUGAAACAGCCUGCAUGGUCCUUUGCCACCAGACAAUAGCAUUACCUGAACUUUAACCCCCACCCAAUUGAAAAUGCAGCUCCCUCGGCACGACGCCCAGGAUGCCGGACAGACGCACGCCACACCCUGCCGUCGUCGGUGUUGCAUGCCUGUUGGGGCGACACUGCUGCAUGUCGCGCUCCAUCUGAAGCUUCAACGGCUAAAAUGGAAGCUGUGGGGGAAGGAAACAAAGCACCGUAAGCUAGCUAUAACGAAGGUGAAGAAGUAGCAACAGAGGCAGUAGGUGCAGAGGAGGGGUGUACUGCCAGAGAAAUUGAGAUGGCGGUCUAAGAAACUGACACCAUGCUAUAUCAAAACAUGUUGUUUGUUAUUUUUUGAAAGAAUCCGUGUUUGUAAAGUCUGGCACUGAUCUAGGGAGAUGCAUCAUCAUAAAAAAAUAUAGAGAACUGAAUACUUGGGAAAACAAAUUGAAGUAUCUGUAGGGAGAAAUCAACUUGAACCGGUAAUACAGCCAAACUGUUCAUCCCUUUUCAUAUAAUUUCACACGGAUGCAGAGUAUACUGAUCAAAAUGUGUUUUUUUGGUAUGCACAUGAGACUAUAAGCUUCAGAUGAUGGAAUGUUGGUCACAAAAAAUUUGUAAUAAUCUAUGAAGAAGCUAAGAAAUGAAAAAUAGGGAAAAAACACUCUGAAUGUACUAAACAAAUACUGCACAGCCUGAACCUUAAUCCACAUUAAUUCUGAACUUCACCACUACCCUGCAAAAUAUGAUGAGUUGGUUCUCAUCGUGCCACCGCUAGAAGCCAAGGCGCGCAAAUAUGGAAUGGGAGCAGGACACGCCGGCAGUUCUACUACUCCAUGCGAUAGGGUUCAAUCAUCUAAGAUGGGAGUUGGAAGCGACAGGAGGAGGAAGGUCAGUGCGCGUUUGGAGAGAAGGUCAC